rnacentral:rRNA from 1 species
AGGCCUAACACAUGCAAGUCGAGCGGCAGCGACAACAUUGACCCUUCGGGGGAUUUGUUGGGCGGCGAGCGGCGGACGGGUGAGUAAUGCCUGGGAACAUGCCUUAGUGUGGGGGAUAACCAUUGGAAACGAUGGCUAAUACCGCAUAAUCUCUACGGAGCAAAGAGGGGGACCUUCGGGCCUCUCGCGCUAAGAUUGGCCCAGGUGGGAUUAGCUAGUAGGUGGGGUAACGGCUCACCUAGGCGACGAUCCCUAGCUGGUCUGAGAGGAUGAUCAGCCACACUGGAACUGAGACACGGUCCAGACUCCUACGGGAGGCAGCAGUGGGGAAUAUUGCACAAUGGGGGAAACCCUGAUGCAGCCAUGCCGCGUGUGUGAAGAAGGCCUUCGGGUUGUAAAGCACUUUCAGCAGUGAGGAAGGCGGUAUCGUUAAUAGCGGUAUUGUUUGACGUUAGCUGCAGAAGAAGCACCGGCUAACUCCGUGCCAGCAGCCGCGGUAAUACGGAGGGUGCGAGCGUUAAUCGGAAUUACUGGGCGUAAAGCGCAUGCAGGCGGCUUGUUAAGCCAGAUGUGAAAGCCCGGGGCUCAACCUCGGAAUCGCAUUUGGAACUGGCAGGCUAGAGUCUUGUAGAGGGGGGUAGAAUUUCAGGUGUAGCGGUGAAAUGCGUAGAGAUCUGAAGGAAUACCGGUGGCGAAGGCGGCCCCCUGGACAAAGACUGACGCUCAGAUGCGAAAGCGUGGGGAGCAAACAGGAUUAGAUACCCUGGUAGUCCACGCCGUAAACGAUGUCUACUUGGAGGUUGGUGUCUUGAACACUGGCUUUCGGAGCUAACGCGUUAAGUAGACCGCCUGGGGAGUACGGUCGCAAGAUUAAAACUCAAAUGAAUUGACGGGGGCCCGCACAAGCGGUGGAGCAUGUGGUUUAAU